GACGAACGCUGGCGGCGUGCCUAAUACAUGCAAGUCGAACGCACAGUUUAUACCGUAGCUUGCUACACCAUAAACUGUGAGUUGCGAACGGGUGAGUAACGCGUAGGUAACCUGCCUGGUAGCGGGGGAUAACUAUUGGAAACGAUAGCUAAUACCGCAUAAUAUUGAUUAUUGCAUGAUAAUUGAUUGAAAGAUGCUAUUGCAUCACUACCAGAUGGACCUGCGUUGUAUUAGCUAGUAGGUGAGGUAACGGCUCACCUAGACGACGAUACAUAGCCGACCUGAGAGGGUGAUCGGCCACACUGGGACUGAGACACGGCCCAGACUCCUACGGGAGGCAGCAGUAGGGAAUCUUCGGAAAUGGACGAAAGUCAGACCGAGCAACGCCGCGUGAGUGGAGAAGGUAUUCGGAUCGGAAAGAUCUGUUGUAAGAGAAGAAAGGGUGUGAGAGUGGAAAGUUCACACUGUGACGGUAUCUUACCAGAAAGGGACGGCUAACUACGUG
rnacentral:rRNA from 1 species